ensembl:snoRNA SNORD57 small nucleolar RNA, C/D box 57
UGUGAGUGAUGACUCUUCUUCCCUGACCAGAACAUGGAGGCAAAAACUGAUUUAAUGAGCCUGACAC